rnacentral:rRNA from 1 species
UACGAAGGGGGCUAGCGUUGCUCGGAAUCACUGGGCGUAAAGCGCACGUAGGCGGCUUGUUAAGUCAGGGGUGAAAUCCUGGAGCUCAACUCCAGAACUGCCUUUGAUACUGGCGAGCUUGAGUUCGGGAGAGGUGAGUGGAACUGCGAGUGUAGAGGUGAAAUUCGUAGAUAUUCGCAAGAACACCAGUGGCGAAGGCGGCUCACUGGCCCGAUACUGACGCUGAGGUGCGAAAGCGUGGGGAGAAAACAGG